UUAAAUUGAAGAGUUUGAUCAUGGCUCAGAUUGAACGCUGGCGGCAGGCCUAACACAUGCAAGUCGAACGGUAACAGGAAUCAGCUUGCUGAUUCGCUGACGAGUGGCGGACGGGUGAGUAAUGUCUGGGAAACUGCCUGAUGGAGGGGGAUAACUACUGGAAACGGUAGCUAAUACCGCAUAACGUCGCAAGACCAAAGAGGGGGACCUUCGGGCCUCUUGCCAUCGGAUGUGCCCAGAUGGGAUUAGCUAGUAGGUGGGGUAACGGCUCACCUAGGCGACGAUCCCUAGCUGGUCUGAGAGGAUGACCAGCCACACUGGAACUGAGACACGGU
rnacentral:rRNA from 1 species